GGAUGUGAGGGCGAUCUGGCUGCAACAUCUGUCACCCCAUUGAUCGCCAGGGUUGAUUCGGCUGAUCUGGCUGGCUAGGCGGGUGUCCCCUUCCUCCCUCACCGCUCCAUGUGCGUCCCUCCCGAAGCUGCGCGCUGGGUCGAAGAGAAUGACCUUCCCCGAUAGAGGAGGACCGUUCUUCGGUCAAGGGUAUACGAGUAGCUGCGCUCCCCUGCUAGAACCUCCAAACAAGCUGUCAAGGUAAAACUGUAUUAUUGAUUGGUUUUUAUUCUGUAAUAGAUUUGUUUUUCUCAUAUUUUAUUUACUUACCUUUUCAUUAGUAUAUCUACAAAU
rnacentral:snRNA from 1 species